CCGCCGAUCAUCACCACCGCUGGCCACCGGCCGACGCCACCACGACCACUGCAAAUCGGCCCCACCACUUACAGGUCUCGCUCUCUACCAAACCUACACACCAUCAUUUUUGGGUUUGAGGAACAACUUCGAAUUGGGAUUGGUGAUUCUAGCAUCGACCUCAGAAGUACAGCAAGGACUUUUUACUCUUUUCGUACCUUUUAAAGGUCCCGACGAGCUUCCCAAGUGGAACUAUGAUGGAUGUAGCAUAUGCCAAGCUCAUGGAGAAAAGUGUUAAUUGAUCAUAUUCUCUGUCUUGGUGCUACAAUUCUGGACCUGUUCUGUCUUGGUGCUGUUCUGUUUUGGACUUGUGCUACAAUUCUGGACCUGUUCUGUUUUGCUAUUUUGAUCU